rnacentral:rRNA from 1 species
UACGAAGGGGGCUAGCGUUGCUCGGAAUCACUGGGCUUAAAGGGUGCGUAGGCGGCCAUGUAAGUGAGGUGUGAAAUCCCUCGGCUCAACCGAGGAACUGCGCUUCAUACUGCAUGGCUUGAGGGAGACAGGGGUAAGCGGAACUGAUGGUGGAGCGGUGAAAUGCGUUGAUAUCAUCAGGAACACCGGUGGCGAAAGCGGCUUACUGGGACUCUUCUGACGCUGAGGUACGAAAGCUAGGGGAGCGAACGGG